UCUCGCUCGAAGGUCUAGGGGUGUCUUCCCUCUCAAGUCCUGCCCAGGUCAUGGCAACCAGCUUGCCGGACUGAGAUUGGCGCACCCAGUCUCCCCAGGUCCCCGCUGCCUCCACAGUGUGGUCCUCCAGAUGUUCCCUGAGAGUAGCUCGUUGUCCAGGGCUGUCUUUGCUCCCAGGUGGUAAUAUGAUUUUAAUAUGCACCCAUGUGCAAGUCUUUAUGGGAAAUGGGGAAGUUCAUCCUGGGCAGCAGCGGCUAAAUUGCCUGACAGGUUGGAAGAGAAUAAGGGAUGGGGAUACAAAUGCAAGGAUAAAACAAGUACGAACUUCUUAACAGUGAACCCUUUUGGGACUUACAACACCAAAACCCCUUAUCCAGGGACCUAAACUGGGAUUGAAACAGGAACAUAUAAUUUGAACAUUGGGAUUUUUAUUUAUAACAAUAUCUCUCCUCUUUUAAUUUGACCAGGCAUCAGCCUGCGUCAACUUGUUGUUUCAGGCUCCUGGUAGUGAAACUUCCUUAGUCUUUAGUAUUGGUCAUAUACCCUUUUUGCUUCUUUCAGCUCUGAACUUUCUAACAUUAGGAUCUUAGUUUUUCCCUUCUCUUGGGUUAUUUCUAAUGAGUUGUAGAUCGUGCUGCUAGACUGUAUUACUGAGGUAAUCAUUCUGAUCAUAGAUGGGAUGACGCAGGGAAGAAAUAACAGUCCUGCUAGUCCCGCUAUACCAAUGAAUGCCACCUUUUCCCACCAGCCCUUAAAGGACCAGAAACUAUCCCACCAAUCAGUAUUCAGGAUCGGCAUCCAUUCUUGGUUCCCUACGUAGGAGAUUUUUCUGAUCUCUUUAGAAAUGUUCCAGAUUACUUCACUUUUAUCAUCUAUUUCUAGGCAGCAUUCAGAGGUGUUGAACUUCCCACAGAUUCCCCCCUCAUCAGCGAGAAGGUAAUCUACUGCCAGUCGGAGUUGGUACACCAGGGGCCUCUUUAUGUUGUCAUAUAGUGGUACUCCAAGCUCUGAGCCAGCCUCUUUUGGGAGCAGGAAGAAAGCUGGCUUUAUCACCCCAAUCGUGCAGCUACCUGACCAGUCUCCUGGUAGAUGUGUAUAAGCUGCAUCCUCGCAGAUCCAAAAGAAAUCAUCUGGGGCUUCCCAAAAACCCUCCCUGUCUUCAUAGGGGUACUCCCAAUGCUUUGAUAGGCUUCUAAUUCCCCAGAAGGGAUUGAUCCCUUUUUCUGCACAUUCAUAAAGGUUAUAUCCUUUGUGAUGAAUGCACCCUUUUUCCCU